UACUGCUUUCUCUCUCUCCCUCCUGUGCUUGCUCCCGCUGCGCGCUUACGUCAACUAGGAGCACACCUGUAUAUUGAUUACAGGGCGGCGUUCACCUGUAUAAAGAGAAGCCGGGUUCUUUCGUUGGAUUAUUUCCUCCCGAGCUUCUGGUGCGAUACAGCGGUAGACUCUGGCUUGCUGGUUAAAUUACUGAGGUGAUCAGGUCGCGUGAUUGCUACAGCGCGGCUGUUUUUCUUUCCUUUGCUCCAGCCGUGGUGAGGAGACGCGUGAGUGCAUCCGCCGUGCAGUACAGCGCCUCCAAGUUCUGGGGGUUUGAUUGCUGCCGUGCCCUCUCGGGGACCAACCGCCUGCUUUGGUUACGCAGAGAGUCGGGCACCUGCCCUGCUGCUGUCUUGUUUUG